AAAGAAAGAUGGAGGCAGGCUUAACACAUGCAAGUCGAGCGCCCCGCAAGGGGAGCGGCAGACGGGUGAGUAACGCGUGGGAACGUACCUUUUGGUUCGGAACAACUCCGGGAAACUGGAGCUAAUACCGGAUAAGCCCUAACGGGGAAAGAUUUAUCGCCGAAAGAUCGGCCCGCGUCUGAUUAGCUAGUUGGUGAGGUAACGGCUCACCAAGGCGACGAUCAGUAGCUGGUCUGAGAGGAUGAUCAGCCACACUGGGACUGAGACACGGCCCAGACUCCUACGGGAGGCAGCAGUGGGGAAUAUUGGACAAUGGGCGCAAGCCUGAUCCAGCCAUGCCGCGUGAGUGAUGAAGGCCUUAGGGUUGUAAAGCUCUUUUGUCCGGGAAGAUAAUGACUGUACCGGAAGAAUAAGCCCCGGCUAACUUCGUG
rnacentral:rRNA from 1 species